GAUUCCCACUAUCACACGAUUUGAUUCAAUGCACCAAGCAAACAAUUCGUAUAGUUUUGCGUUGGAAUUGUACAAUUUGAGAUAUGUCUCACACGAUUCAGUUCAAUCCACUAAGUCCUUGAUUUCAUUUGUGCUCAGUUUCUACUUGCAAUACGAAUAUUAGGAGGCAUCAAGGGAAAGGUUCGAAAAAGUUAAUCUGCUUUUGUUGAAAGAAAGAAGAUGGCAUUGAAGGUGAUUGAUUCCUGCACAUGCAUUACCUUUUGAUUGUAAUGGGAGGUUCAAAUAGUCUUCCAUGGAUCUUUGGAAUGGUUAUGCCUGUUGAUUCAGUCUUUGAGUAGGUUUAACAUGGAAUUCAGGCUGUGGAUGAACAUUUGGUGGGCAUCUUUGACAUUUCAUGACGUGCUCACAUGCUUGUUGAUGUCCAGACUCAAUGAAAUCAAAGUGUUGCGAAUGGAGACAUGGAGGGCUGUCAAAUCAUCAAAGUGGCUGUGGAUUGUGAGUGCAAAAAUCUUUUCAGUUUGCUAGUUGUCCCUUUACGGAUUUAUACCCCGCUUAUCCUGGUUGCUAGCACUCGGUUCUAAAUUGGUGUGACAAUCUUUGUACUGGUACAACCAAGGUGAACGUUGAUCUCAUUACAAAGUUAUAAGUGACUAUGUAUCCUUCUUUCUAUGCAUUGGCUGUGCCUAGAAUCAGUACCGUCUCAAGUAUGGAAGCUUCAUGACCGCACCAGUAUGGAAGCUGAACUUUGGGGACUCAAAAAAUGAGAGAACAAAACAGAUAACAUCUUAUUGUAAUAAAUCUAAUUAUUUAUUUGAGUAACAUUACAUAGGCGAUAAAAGUCCAUAAGUAGCAAUUU